rnacentral:rRNA from 1 species
UACAGAGGAUGCAAGCGUUAUCCGGAAUGAUUGGGCGUAAAGCGUCUGUAGGUGGCUUUUUAAGUCCGCCGUCAAAUCCCAGGGCUCAACUCUGGACAGGCGGUGGAAACUACCAAGCUGGAGUACGGUAGGGGCAGAGGGAAUUUCCGGUGGAGCGGUGAAAUGCGUAGAUAUUGGGAAGAACACCGGUGGCGAAGGCGGCUAUCUGGACCGACAUUGACGCUGAGGCGCGAAAGCGUGGGGAGCAAACAGG